UACGAAGGGGGCUAGCGUUGUUCGGAUUUACUGGGCGUAAAGGGCGCGUAGGCGGAUUGAUCAGUCAGGGGUGAAAUCCCAAGGCUCAACCUUGGAACUGCCUUUGAUACUGUCGGUCUUGAGUCCGGGAGAGGUGAGUGGAACUGCGAGUGUAGAGGUGAAAUUCGUAGAUAUUCGCAAGAACACCAGUGGCGAAGGCGGCUCACUGGCCCGGAACUGACGCUGAGGCGCGAAAGCGUGGGGAGCAAACAGG
rnacentral:rRNA from 1 species